rnacentral:lncRNA from 1 species
GGAUGCCUCGCUUUCUCUCCCUACUCUCUCCCCCACCAUUCUCAGAUCAAACUACGUCGUUCAGUCCGCGCUGCCUUAGCUCAGUCCAAGCCGAUCAAUCUCCGCUUCUGCAGUCUCCGGCGAGAAGCCUUCGAGUUCUCCUCGCUUAGCCAGUCUGACUCGCACCGCGUCUGGCUCUCGACGGCGUCGCGGUCCAAGAAGGUUUCGGCAGCCUUGUCAGGUAAUGGAAGCGCUCCGAAGUCGUUUGACUAAGACUUGCUCAUCAUUAGCACUGGCGUCUGCGGCUACACCGCUGCUCUCCACGCCGUCGAGAAGGUAUGAUUUCUGACGGUGACACUCGUUUGGAUUUUGAUGAGAAAUUGUGGCUCUGAGCUUGGGAUUUAGCUCAAUUGUUACUGUAGUAGCUUGGAUCUCUGUGAUUUUGCUUGAGUAGACUGUAUUAGC